UUUCCGUAGGUGAACCUGCGGAAGGGUCAUUAAUAAAUGGUCUACGUUUUUAAGUAGACGCUUAAUAAUCCUACCCUUUGUGAAUUUGUUUGUUUGAAAUAAUUUUUUUAAAAUUAUUGAAUGUCUUUCCCUGUUGAAUUGGUUGUCUUUAAUGGCAAGUGAUUCGCAGGGAGUGUCAAUAAUUUUUAAAAAGACCUUUUUUAAAAUUAAACUUUUUGUAUUCAUUGUCUAAAAAUUAUUUUUAUAAUAUAAAAACAACUUUGACAAUGGAUCUCUUGGUUCUCGCAACGAUGAAGAACGCAGCAAAAUGCGAUAAGUAGUGUGAAUUGCAGAAUACGUGAAUCAUCGAAUCUUCGAACGCAUAUUGCACUUUUUUAGUUUACUAAAAAGUAUGUCUGUUUGAGUAUCAGUAAAUAUUCUCAUAAAAACAUUGUUUUUAUGGUUAUGAGUGUUUUACAACGAUACAAGUUGUUUCACUUUAAAUUUUUUAAAAUUUGAAUUUUUCUAAUUUUAAAAUAAAAUUGGAUAAAGUUUUCCCGUAAAAGGAAUAACCUAAACAAUUUUAAUUUUUGAUUAGAAAUCCAAACUAAAAGGAAAAUUUAACUAAAUAACUUGAUCUCAAAUCAGAUAAGAGUACCCGCUGAACUUAAGCAUAUCAAUAAGCGGAGGAAAAGAACUAACAAGGAUUCCCUUAGUAACGGCGAGUGAAGCGGGAAGAGCUCAAAUUUGAAAUCUUCAAGGUUUUACCUUGACGAAUUGUAGUUUAAAGAAGUGUUUUCUGUUGAAGUUUUGGUAAAGUUCUUUGGAAUAGGACAUCAUAGAGGGUGAGAAUCCCGUAUUUGACCAUUAUUUUCAGCUGUGUGAUACACUUUCAAAGAGUCGGAUUGUUUGGGAAUGCAGUCCAAAAUGGGUGGUAAAUUUCAUCUAAAGCUAAAUAUUGGCGAGAGACCGAUAGCGAACAAGUACCGUGAGGGAAAGAUGAAAAGAACUUUGAAAAGAGAGUUAAACAGUACGUGAAAUUGUCAAAAGGGAAGCGUUUGACACCAGUGUUGUUUUCUCGAAAAUCAAUUAAAAAAAGUUGGAUUUUGUGUUGUAUUGACCUUAACAGCUUGCUUCACUCUUUCCUGCUUUUUUAAUGCACUUUUCGUUUAACAAGUCAACAUCAGUUUCUUUUGUUGUAAAAGGGUCAUUGGAAGGUGGCUUUCUCUUCGGAGAAAGUGUUUAUAGCCUUUGAUCUCUGCAAUCGGAGAGACUGAGGUCUGCAGCGUAGAUCCUUCGGGGUUAGAUACAUUUGUGCUAAGCUACAGCUUUUCAUAGACAACUUGUUGACUAUGUUUAGUCUUGUGACUUACCCGCUUAUGCUAUU
rnacentral:misc_RNA from 1 species